AUUCAGCUGACGAGUCCCAAAUAGGACUACAUAUACGUCCUGGAU
rfam:Schistosoma haematobium scaffold2028_9, whole genome shotgun sequence.